rnacentral:rRNA from 1 species
GACGAACGCUGGCGGCGUGCUUAACACAUGCAAGUCGAACGGAAAGGCCCUGCUUUUGUGGGGUGCUCGAGUGGCGAACGGGUGAGUAACACGUGAGUAACCUGCCCUUGACUUUGGGAUAACUUCAGGAAACUGGGGCUAAUACCGGAUAGGAGCUCCUGCUGCAUGGUGGGGUUUGGAAAGUUUCGGCGGUUGGGGAUGGACUCGCGGCUUAUCAGCUUGUUGGUGGGGUAGUGGCUUACCAAGGCUUUGACGGGUAGCCGGCCUGAGAGGGGGACCGGCCACAUUGGGACUGAGAUACGGCCCAGACUCCUACGGGAGGCAGCAGUGGGGAAUAUUGCACAAUGGGCGGAAGCCUGAUGCAGCAACGCCGCGUGCGGGAUGACGGCCUUCGGGUUGUAAACCGCUUUCGCCUGUGACGAAGCGUGAGUGACGGUAAUGGGUAAAGAAGCACCGGCUAACUACGUG